GAUGAACGCUGGCGGCGUGCCUAAUACAUGCAAGUCGAGCGAACAGACGAGGAGCUUGCUCCUCUGACGUUAGCGGCGGAUGGGAGAGUAACACGUGGAGAACCUACCUAUAAGACUGGGAUAACUACGGGAAACCGGAGCUAAUACCGGAUAAUAUAUUGAACCGCAUGGUUGAAUAGUGAAAGACGGUUUUGCUGUCACGUAUAGAUGGUUCCGCGCCGCAUUAGCUAGUUGGUAAGGUAACGGCUUACCAAGGCGACGAUGCGUAGCCGACCUGAGAGGGUGAUCGGCCACACUGGAACUGAGACACGGUCCAGACUCCUACGGGAGGCAGCAGUAGGGAAUUUUCCGCAAUGGGCGAAAGCCUGACGGAGCAACGCCGCGUGGGUGAUGAAGGUCUUCGGGUCGUAAAGCACUGUUAUUAGGGAAGAAGAAAUGUGUAAGUAACUAUACACGUAUUGACGGUACCUGAUGAGAAAGCCACGGCUAACUACGUG
rnacentral:rRNA from 1 species